UCAUCGAUGUACAAAUCGGUGGGGGGGAUACGAAAGCGAAAGCUUUGCUAAUACCGCAUACGAUCUACGGAUGAAAGCACGGGGACCUUCGGGCCUUGCGCUAUCAGAUGAGCCUAGGUCGGAUUAGCUAGUUGGUGAGGUAAUGGCUCACCAAGGCUACGAUCCGUAACUGGUCUGAGAGGAUGAUCAGUCACACUGGAACUGAGACACGGUCCAGACUCCUACGGGAGGCAGCAGUGGGGAAUAUUGGACAAUGGGCGAAAGCCUGAUCCAGCCAUGCCGCGUGUGUGAAGAAGGUCUUCGGAUUGUAAAGCACUUUAAGUUGGGAGGAAGGGCAUUAACCUAAUACGUUAGUGUUUUGACGUUACCGACAGAAUAAGCACCGGCUAACUCUGUGCCAGCAGCCGCGGUAAUACAGAGGGUGCAAGCGUUAAUCGGAAUUACUGGGCGUAAAGGGAGCGUAGGUGGCUCUAUAGGUCAGAUGUGAAAUCCCCGGGCUUAACCUGGGAACUGCAUCUGAAACUGCAGAGCUAGAGUAUGUGAGAGGAAGGUAGAAUUCCAGGUGUAGCGGUGAAAUGCGUAGAGAUCUGGAGGAAUACCGAUGGCGAAGGCAGCCUUUCUGGGCAUAAUACUGACACUGAGGCU
rnacentral:rRNA from 1 species